GCAAGGCAACCACAGAGGCAAAGGUCGAACCCGUACGAGGUCAAUACCUAGUUAAAUGCAUAACAGGCCAAUUUUUGGGGUGUCAGAUCACCCCUCAAAGGCAGCCUUCUUUGGGGAAAAAUAAGCGUGCUCUUUCUUCUAUGCUGUUUCCCUAGAGGGAGCCACUGAGACUGUGGACGCCUGCUCACACGCUGAUGUCAGUGCCAGCCCACACCAUAUAGGGCCCCCGGGACACGGAUCUGCUUUCAUUUGUGCUCCUACACACAAGUUCCCUCAUCUGGGAAAGCUCUCAUUUUCAUCUGGAUCCUGCCAUGCUCUCCAGUCUUCUCCGCAUAGCAUCGCUGUGUCUCCUGGGAGCAAGGUACAUAUCAGCUGAAGUCUCCCAGUCCCCCAGCCACAGGGUCAUAGAGAAGAAACAGGCUGUGAAUCUGAGUUGUGACCCUAUUUCUGGACAUGAAUCUCUUUUUUGGUACUACCAUGCUACGGGGAAAGAAAUGAAGCUUCUGAUUUACUUCCUAAGAGAGUCUAUGCAGGAUGACUCAGGGAUGCCCAAAGGCCGAUUCACAGCAGAAAGGACGGAAGGGACGUCUUCUACGCUGAGGGUCCACUCUGCAGAGCUGGGUGACUCGGGAGUUUAUUUCUGUGCCAGCAGCCGAGACACAGUGCUUCAGAGUUCUGUCCUUUCUGUGCAAAACCACAUCCUAUCUGCUCCUCUCAAGUCAGGCAGCCCUGAACAGAAGUCUUUCCCUGUGCCGCCUCUCCAAGGAAGAGAGGAGAGGAAUAACUGGAAUUAGCCGUUGAAACUCAAGAGUAUUUUUAAAAAAUGUAACUGGGGAUAUCUGUGGCUUGGGAGACUCCUGGGGCUCCUCACAUAGAGCUCAACCUAUGCAAAUCUAUUUGUUUUCAUUUAGCUUAUUGAAGUAUAGAUGAUUUACAAUGCUGUGUUAAUUUCUACUGCACAGCAGUGACCCAGUUACACACACACACACACACACACACACACACACACAUACGUUCUUUUUCAUUUUCUUUCCAUUAUGCUUCAUCACAAGAUAUUUAAUAAAGUUCCCUGUGCUGUACAGUAGGAUCUUUUUGUCUAUCCAUUCUAUAUAUACUAGUUUGCAUC